GACGAACGCUGGCGGCGUGCUUAACACAUGCAAGUCGAACGGAAAGGCCCUGCUUUGGUGGGGUGCUCGAGUGGCGAACGGGUGAGUAACACGUGAGUAACCUGCCCUUGACUUUGGGAUAACUUCAGGAAACUGGGGCUAAUACCGGAUAGGAGCUCCUGCGGCAGGGUGGGGGUGGGAAAGUUUCGGCGGUUGGGGAUGGACUCGCGGCUUAUCAGCUUGUUGGUGGGGUAGUGGCUUACCAAGGCUUUGACGGGUAGCCGGCCUGAGAGGGUGACCGGCCACAUUGGGACUGAGAUACGGCCCAGACUCCUACGGGAGGCAGCAGUGGGGAAUAUUGCACAAUGGGCGGAAGCCUGAUGCAGCAACGCCGCGUGCGGGAUGACGGCCUUCGGGUUGUAAACCGCUUUCGCCUGUGACGAAGCGUGAGUGACGGUAAUGGGUAAAGAAGCACCGGCUAACUACGUG
rnacentral:rRNA from 1 species